rnacentral:tRNA from 1 species
GCCCUAGUAGCUUAGCACCAAAAGCGCCGGUCUUGUAAU